rnacentral:rRNA from 1 species
UACAGAGACUGCAAGCGUUAUUCGGAUUCACUGGGCGUAAAGCGUGCGCAGGCGGUCCGCAAAGUCUGAUGUGAAAGCCCCGGGCUCAACCUGGGAACUGCAUUGGAAACUAACGGGCUCGAGUGUGGCAGAGGGGGGUGGAAUUCCACGUGUAGCAGUGAAAUGCGUAGAGAUGUGGAGGAACACCGAUGGCGAAGGCAGCCCCCUGGGCUAACACUGACGCUCAGGCCCGAAAGCGUGGGGAGCAAACAGG